GACGAACCGUGCGAACGUUAUUCGGAAUCACUGGGCUUAAAGCGCGUGUAGGCGGGACGGCACGUCGGUCGCUGAAAUCCCCCGGCUCAACCGGGGAACGGGCGCCGAUACGACCGGCCUGGAGGGGCGUAGGGGGACCUGGAACUUCCGGUGGAGCGGUGAGAUGCGUUGAGAUCGGAAGGAACGCCCGUGGCGAAAGCGAGGUCCUGGACGCCUACUGACGCUGAGACGCGAAAGCCAGGGGAGCGAACGGG
rnacentral:rRNA from 1 species